AGCUUUGCGCAGUGGCAGUAUCAUAGCCAAUGAAAUUUAUCCGAGGCAUGAUUAUUGCUAAUUGAAAGUUCACCUGUUUAAACGUGCACAAUUCAAUGGUUUUUAUUUAGUAUAUUCAUAGUUGUGCAACUAUCACCACCAACUAACUUCAGAACAUUUUCAUCAUUCCCAAAAGAA
rnacentral:snRNA from 1 species